rnacentral:lncRNA from 1 species
GAAGAGGUGUGUGGAGAGAGAGAGAGAGAGAGAGAGGCACACGUAUACAAGUGGUGUGUGUGAGAGAUUAAUCAAAAUAGUGUUGUAAUAAAAUUAAUUGUAGAAGUUUGUUUAGAUAAAAAAGAAAUUUUCCUUUGUGCUUCAAUCUCAACCCAUAAUGUAGUAAUCUCAAUUAAUCAUGGAGCAUGUAUGCUAUGCAUAGACUUCCAACAACAAUAAAGCC